rnacentral:lncRNA from 1 species
GGUUUAUAGGUGCGGGUCGAACAUCCUUUGUGUUGUCUAGAUUCCGUGAGCCUCCCCAAUAGAACAGUAGAUCAUCCUUACCGAGGUUAGAACGAGACUAAGGUUGCAGUCUUCUCUAUACAUCACUCACAUCGAGAAACAGCCUAAAGGGGUAGUAGCAAUAGAUUUGGUUAGUCAGAUGCACCCUUUCUCCCAGUGGUAAAAAUAUAAAUACGAUACUCUGGAAAAUCUCCCUGGUGAAAUGCUCACCGAUAUCCAUGCGCUUGCGGAUCAUUUCCUUAUUGCGUUACCAAAUAUCAACAAUGAACUCCCCA